rnacentral:rRNA from 1 species
GACGAACGCUGGCGGCGUGCUUAACACAUGCAAGUCGAACGGAAAGGCCCUGCUUUUGUGGGGUGCUCGAGUGGCGAACGGGUGAGUAACACGUGAGUAACCUGCCCUUGACUUUGGGAUAACUUCAGGAAACUGGGGCUAAUACCGGAUAGGAGCUCCUGCUGCAUGGUGGGGGUUGGAAAGUUUCGGCGGUUGGGGAUGGACUCGCGGCUUAUCAGCUUGUUGGUGGGGUAGUGGCUUACCAAGGCUUUGACGGGUAGCCGGCCUGGGAGGGUGACCGGCCACAUGGCGACUGAGAUACGGCCCAGUAUCCUACGGGCGGCAGCAGUGGAGAAUAUUGCAGAAUGGGCGGAAGCCUGAUGCAGCAACGCCGCGUGCGGGAUAACGGCCUUCGGGUUGUAAACCAAUUUCGCCUGUGACGAAGCGUGAGUGACGGUAAUGGGUAAAGAAGCACCGGCUAACUACGUG